CCUACGGGAGGCAGCAGUGAGGAAUAUUGGUCAAUGGACGCAAGUCUGAACCAGCCAUGCCGCGUGCAGGAAGACGGCUCUAUGAGUUGUAAACUGCUUUUGCACGAGGGUAAACGCAGAUACGCGUAUCUGUCUGAAAGUAUCGUACGAAUAAGGAUCGGCUAACUCCGUGCCAGCAGCCGCGGUAAUACGGAGGAUUUAAGCGUUAUCCGGAUUUAUUGGGUUUAAAGGGUGCGUAGGCGGUCGGAUAAGUUAGAGGUGAAAUCCCGGGGCUCAACUUCGGAAUUGCCUCUGAUACUGUUCGGCUGGAGAGUAGUUGCGGUAGGCGGAAUGUAUGGUGUAGCGGUGAAAUGCUUAGAGAUCAUGCAGAACACCGGUUGCGAAGGCAGCUUACCGGGCUGCUUCUGACGUUGAGGCACGAAAGCGUGGGGAGCAAACAGGAUUAGAUACCCGGGUAGUC
rnacentral:rRNA from 1 species